rnacentral:rRNA from 1 species
AGAGAUGUGUGAUGACGCAUAUCAAUAAGCGGAGGAAAAGAAACUAACAAGGAUUCCCUUAGUAACGGCGAGUGAAGCGGGAAGAGCCCAAAUUUGAAAUCUUCAAGGUUUUACCUUGACGAAUUGUAGUUUAAAGAAGUGUUUUCUGUUGGAGUUUUGGUAAAAGUUCUUUGGAUUAGGACAUCAUAGAGGGUGAGAAUCCCGUAUUUGACCAUUAUUUCCAGCUGUGUGAUACACUUUCAAAGAGUCGGAUUGUUUGGGAAUGCAGUCCAAAAUGGGUGGUAAAUUUCAUCUAAAGCUAAAUAUUGGCGAGAGACCGAUAGCGAACAAGUACCGUGAGGGAAAGAUGAAAAGAACUUUGAAAAGAGAGUUAAACAGUACGUGAAAUUGUCAAAAGGGAAGCGUUUGACACCAGUGUUGUUUUCUCGAAAAUCAAUUAAAAAUGCUUGAUUUUGUGUUGUAUUGACUUUAUCAGCUUUCUGCACUUUUUUCAUUCUUUUUUAAUGCACUUUUCGUUUAACAAGUCAACAUCAAUUUCUUUUGUUGUAAAAGAGUUAUUGGAAGGUGGCUUUCUCUUCGGAAAAGUGUUUAUAGCCUUUAGCCUCUGCAAUCGGAGAGAUUGAGGUCUGCAGCGUAGAUCCUUCGGGGUUAGAUACAUUUGUGCUAAGUUAUAGUCUUUUAUAGACAACUUGUUGACUAUAAUUGAAUCUUGUAACUUACUCGCUUAUGCUAUUUUACCUACGCUUAGGAUGUUGACAGCAGUAUAGACUG